AUUGAACGCUGGCGGCAUGCCUUACACAUGCAAGUCGAGCGCGAAAGGGGCAACCCCGAGUAGAGCGGCGGACGGGUGAGUAACACAUCGGAACGUGCCCAGUAGUGGGGGACAACCUCGAGAAAUCGAGGCUAAUACCGCAUACGACCCACGGGUGAAAGCGGGGACCGCAAGGCCUCGCGCUAUUGGAGCGGCCGAUGUCCGAUUAGCUAGUUGGCGGGGUAAGAGCCCACCAAGGCGACGAUCGGUAGCUGGUCUAAGAGGACGACCAGCCACACUGGACUGAGACACGGCCCAGACU
rnacentral:rRNA from 1 species